AUGUUUUACGUAACUGUAAUCAUACUCCAUUUAAUGACUGGCUUUAGUGCUGUAAUUAUGUUCUUAUUUACAGAAGAGUCUACAGCUGUAGAGAAGAAGAGGAAGCCUCUUACCAGACUAAAUAUUCAUUCUGCAUUCUGGAUUUUGGCAUCUAUUGCUGUGACAUACUACUUUGAUUUUUUAAGAACUGUUAAAGAAACUAUUCAAGCAAAUAGUUGGUGGUUUGCCUCUGGCAGUUGUUUAUUGGCUGCAUGUUUAUCUGUUGCCUUUUACUGCAUCCUGUAUCUUGAGUGGUAUUGUGGAAUUGAGGACUAUGAUGCACAGUAUCCAGCACUGAUACCUGUCACAACAGCUACCUUUAUUGCAGCAGCAAUUUGUUUCAACAUUGCAUUAUGGCCUGUCUGGUCGUUUAUGACACCUUUGUUGCUCUUCAUUCAGUUCAUGGGCGUUGUGAUGCUUGUAUCACUCCUGGGAUAAGUCCUUCAGGAUAUACUAUUCAGAUGAAUCCUGUGAAACUGAAAAAGCUUAAGGAAGACAUCAAAGAUCAUGCAGUAAAUAGGCAUCAUGUGAAGGAACUCAAGUAACUGUUAUCCUGCAAAGUGGAUGUCACUUUUGUUACAUUCCAGUACUUUUAUUAUUUCUAAUACUGCUUGUUUGCUGUAACUGAUGCUGUAAUUCUUAGACUACCUGAUUUAUAAAUCAAAUGGACAUAACCAUAGGUCAGCCAGUGGCUGGGAAAAAGCAACUGAUAGCGAAUAACUGAAAGAUAGAUAGGUUUUACCUCUUUUAGUAACAUAAAGCAUUUUAUGACUGCUUUGUAAAGCUUUUAUUCGUAUUUCAAUGUUAAGCAGAUGGGUAAUAAUUCAGUUACAUAGUCCCAAAUCCUAUCUGGGGACUCCAGAAGUCACCUAGUCCUACUUCCUGCUCAAAGCAGGUUGUUUGUCUUGAAAGUAAUUGAUACUUAAUUCAAGUGUUGUGGGCUUUUAAUACUAUAUUCUUUCAAUUUGAAUUGACAGCUAAAAUAUUGUUAAUCUGGAAUCUCUGUUUGUACUUGUAAACUUACUCAUAUAUGACACAUUUCUUGAUCUAUUAAAUUUCUAAUGUUACGUGUGUUAUAAUAAAGGAAAUACUUUAUUACUUAAUCUCUUGACUUCAGACCUGCUAAUGUUUAAAAAAAGAUAGAGAUCAGGGUAAGGACCUAGAAAGCUGGUUGAUGUUUAAGUCAUUGUUAAUUUGGCAGUGCUGUAAAUGAAAUAAAUAGAUUCUACUUGUGCUGAUACAGCUUGUCCACAGCCAAAGAUGGAUGAUCAAGCUGUGAAUAACCAGCAGUAUAAUGAACAAUAUUAACACUGCACAAGAAAAUAAGAGAACAAAGUAAAUUCUUUUGAUGUAUGCACUAUUUUUCAGUAUUCAGGAUGUUUUACUUCUGUAAAUUAACUUUUCAUUAUUAGCAGUGCCUGUUAAUGAAGUUGCCAUUUUUCUUCCUCAGCAAUAAAGAGGCUGGUAUUACCUUAAAUGUUAUUAGUCAUACAUAGCUGGGAAAAUAAAAUAACAUUGUCUGUCUCUUCACCUUGGCUAAGCUACUUAAGUAUCUGAAAAACUGGGCACCAUCUACUUGCUAGACCAUUGAAUGUAGAUCUUUGUGUUAAAUACUUUAACACCUGCACCUUUUGGAAGAUAGGAGAAUGUAGAAGCUGGGUACUGAAACUUGUUAAAAUCUACACCUUGUGACUCUUGCUUGAAGUCUGAACUAUUAGAAGACGCUGUUCUUCAUUCUGACUUUCAAAUUCACUCCAUUUCAGAAUACACAAUACAUGAAAUGGUUAGUAAUGAAAAAGAUACACAUUGUCUUAAGCUACUACUGUUUCAUUAAGGAAAAUGUUGGUAUGCAAUACACAGGAUCAGUGAAACCAAAAUAAAAUACAUUUAGCACAACUGUUAAGUAGCUUGUAGAGUUAACAGCUUGAUUUGCUUAAAUGUAGUAUUUAAGUUUUCCAAAACCAGUUGUACUUUGCAUCUUUAAAGGGCAAGUUGCCUAUUCAGAUCUUCAUCUUUUAACAAACUUUAACAUAUUUACAUCUGCAUACACAGGUACAUUUGAGUAACUUUGUUUAUUAUAUUUAAAAUGAAGUGUUACUCAGGGAUGGUAAUUACCACUGUAUUUUUAUUUGUCAAGUAUAUAAAUGCUCUAGGUGUUUUGAG